AGAGUUUGAUCCUGGCUCAGGAUGAACGCUGGCGGCGUGCUUAACACAUGCAAGUCGAACGAAGCAUUUAGAACGGAUUAUUUCGGUAUGAAGUUCUUUAUGACUGGGUGGCGGACGGGUGAGUAACGCGUGGGUAACCUGCCUUGUACUGGGGGAUAGCAGCUGGAAACGGCUGGUAAUACCGCAUAAGCGCACAAUGUUGCAUGACAUGGUGUGAAAAACUCCGGUGGUAUAAGAUGGACCCGCGUCUGAUUAGCUAGUUGGUGAGAUAACAGCCCACCAAGGCGACGAUCAGUAGCCGACCUGAGAGGGUGACCGGCCACAUUGGGACUGAGACACGGCCCAGACUCCUACGGGAGGCAGCAGUGGGGAAUAUUGCACAAUGGAGGAAACUCUGAUGCAGCGACGCCGCGUGAGUGAAGAAGUAAUUCGUUAUGUAAAGCUCUAUCAGCAGGGAAGAUAGUGACGGUACCUGACUAAGAAGCUCCGGCUAAAUACGUGCCAGCAGCCGCGGUAAUACGUAUGGAGCAAGCGUUAUCCGGAUUUACUGGGUGUAAAGGGAGUGUAGGUGGCCAUGCAAGUCAGAAGUGAAAAUCCGGGGCUCAACCCCGGAACUGCUUUUGAAACUGUAAGGCUGGAGUGCAGGAGGGGUGAGUGGAAUUCCUAGUGUAGCGGUGAAAUGCGUAGAUAUUAGGAGGAACACCAGUGGCGAAGGCGGCUCACUGGACUGUAACUGACACUGAGGCUCGAAAGCGUGGGGAGCAAACAGGAUUAGAUACCCUGGUAGUCCACGCCGUAAACG
rnacentral:rRNA from 1 species